UGGAUCAUGUUGUUUAAUUCGAUGAUACGCGAAGAACCUUACCAGGUCUUGACAUCCCCUGCAAAGCUAUGGAGACAUAGUGGAGGUUAUCAGGGAGACAGGUGGUGCAUGGUUGUCGUCAGCUCGUGUCGUGAGAUGUUGGGUUAAGUCCCGCAACGAGCGCAACCCUUGUCUUUAAUUGCCAUCAUUGAGUUGGGCACUUUAAAGAGACUGCCGGUGUUAAACCGGAGGAAGGUGGGGAUGACGUCAAGUCCUCAUGGCCUUUAUGCCCAGGGCUACACACGUGCUACAAUGGGUGGUACAAAGAGCAGCCAGCUCGCGAGAGUGAGCAAAUCUCAAAAAGCCAUCCUCAGUUCGGAUUGGAGUCUGCAACUCGACUCCAUGAAGUUGGAAUCGCUAGUAAUCGCGGAUCAGCAUGCCGCGGUGAAUACGUUCCCGGGCCUU
rnacentral:rRNA from 1 species